rfam:Podiceps cristatus contig100253, whole genome shotgun sequence.
CAAAAUGCUUCUUUAGAAGCCACAUAAAACUGUAAAAGACAAUAUAU